UACGUAGGGGCUAGCGUUGUCCGGAAUCAUUGGGCGUAAAGAGCGCGUAGGCGGCCAGAUAAGUUCCGGUGUGAAAGUCAAAGGCUACAACCUUUGGAAUGCCGCUGGAAACCUGUCUGGCUAGAGUCCGGGAGGGGCGAGUGGAAUUCCUGGUGUAGGCGGGUGAAAUGCGCAGAUAUACAGGAAGAACACCCGUGGCGAAGGCGGUUCUCUGGGACGGUACUGGACGCUGAGACGCGAAGCGUGGGGAGCGAAGCA
rnacentral:rRNA from 1 species